CACGUAGGGGUGCGAGCGUUGUCCGGAAUUAUUGGGCGUAAAGAGCUCGUAGGCGGUGUGUCGCGUCGGCCGUGAAAACCUGGGGCUUAACUCUGGGCUUGCGGUCGAUACGGGCAUCACUGGAGUUCGGCAGGGGAGACUGGAAUUCCUGGUGUAGCGGUGAAAUGCGCAGAUAUCAGGAGGAACACCGGUGGCGAAGGCGGGUCUCUGGGCCGAUACUGACGCUGAGGAGCGAAAGCGUGGGGAGCGAACAGG
rnacentral:rRNA from 1 species